rnacentral:rRNA from 1 species
UACGAGAGGGGCAAGCGUUAUUCGGAAUGAUUGGGCGUAAAGGGUUCGUAGGCGGCAAUUGCUGUUGUAAGUAAAAGUUUAGAUUUAUCUUUAAAAAAGCUUAUAAUACUCUUUUGCUUGAGUUUAGAAGAGGAUAAUAGAAUUUCAUACAUAGGGGUAAAAUCCAAAAAUUAUUGAAGGAAUGUCAGUGGCGAAGGCGAUUAUCUGGGCUAAGACUGACGCUGAGGAACGAAAGCGUAGGGAGCAAACAGGAUUAGAUACCCUGGUAGUCUACGCUGUCAAAUAUGAGUGUUAAUAUUGGGUAGUCUAUCCGGUAUACAGUUAACACGUUAAACACUCCGCCUGGGAAGUACGAUCGCAAGAUUGGA